rnacentral:rRNA from 1 species
GAUGAACGCUGGCGGCGUGCCUAAUACAUGCCAGUCGAGCGAACGGACGAGAAGCUUGCUUUUCUGAUGUUAGCGGCGGACGGGUGAGUAACACGUGGAUAACCUACCUAUAAGACUGGGAUAACUUCGGGAAACCGGAGCUAAUACCGGAUAAUAUUUUGAACCGCAUGGUUCAAAAGUGAAAGACGGUCUUGCUGUCACUUAUAGAUGGAUCCGCGCUGCAUUAGCUAGUUGGUAAGGUAACGGCUUACCAAGGCAACGAUGCAUAGCCGACCUGAGAGGGUGAUCGGCCACACUGGAACUGAGACACGGUCCAGACUCCUACGGGAGGCAGCAGUACGGAAUCUUCCGCAAUGGGCGAAAGCCUGACGGAGCAACGCCGCGUGAGUGAUGAAGGUCUUCGGAUCGUAAAACUCUGUUAUUAGGGAAGAACAUAUGUGUAAGUAACUGUGCACAUCUUGACGGUACCUAAUCAGAAAGCCACGGCUAACUACGUG